rnacentral:tRNA from 1 species
GCGGAAGUGGCGGAAUUGGCAGACGCGCUAGCCUCAGGAGCUAGUGACCGCAAGGUCAUGAAGGUUCGAGUCCUUUCUUCCGCACCA